CAGCGCACGGUAAGUCAAUUUUUUUUUUACCGUUGGCGCGUGAAUUACACGCGCCAACGGUAAAAAAAAAUUGAUUUUCGCGCGUUG
rnacentral:miRNA from 1 species